rnacentral:rRNA from 1 species
AGACACGGUCCAGACUCCUACGGGAGGCAGCAGUGAGGAAUUUUCUGCAAUGGGCGAAAGCCUGACAGAGCAAUACCGCGUGAAGGAUGAAGGCCUAUGGGUUGUAAACUUCUUUUCUCAAGGAGGAAGAUAUGACGUUACUUGAGGAAUAAGCAUCGGCUAACUCUGUGCCAGCAGCCGCGGUAAUACAGAGGAUGCAAGUGUUAUCCGGAAUUAUUGGGCGUAAAGCGUCUGCAGGUGGACUUCUAAGUCUUUUGUUAAAACUCUGGGCUCAACCCAGAAUCUGCAAAGGAAACUAUUAGUCUUGAGUAUGGUAGAGGUAAAGGGAAUUUCCAGUGGAGCGGUGAAAUGCGUAGAU